rnacentral:lncRNA from 1 species
CGGGCUAGCGGGCUACUGGGCUGCGGAGACCAGAGCCCGGCUCCACUGAAGAAACCCGCCGGCUGCUGGGGCAGGGCGGCGAAAGGUCAGUCGGCCGAGAGGAGUCCGUGGAGCCACCGUUUCAUAGCCUCAGGGAAAGGAUCGGGCGUGCUCACGAGCCCUCUAACCCAUGGCUUAAACACCCGCUUCCUAAGCCUGGUUCCUGAAUAUAUCACAUGUGGUGAUAAACAUGAAGAUGUAUGAAAAAUUGUGUUCGUUGAGAGAAAAUGGAAGGCUUUUCAUUCUACUUCCACAUUUUCAUUCCAGCAGCUUUUCUGUUUUGGAAGAUGAGUACUGAAUCUUGCAAUGAAAUUUUUUUAACUUAAACAAGACAAGGAAAAUGAAGCGCAGAGACGUUAAAUAACUCUCUCAAGGUCAUGCAGCUGAGAAGAGAUGAGACUUGAACUCCAGUGCCAGCCCUGUUAAUCACUAUUCUGUACUGUCUUUCAGAUGGAAUGAUAGGGUAUGCAUAAAUGUUCAUGUGGGCUCUGGAGUAUACCAGGAACUGAAGUAAGGUACAUGGACGUCUUGAAUAUUGUAACUGAGAUGGGCAAGCCUACACCUUUGCAAAUAAAGGAGGAUUGGGAAAGAUUAAGCCUCUCAAGCACUGUGAAAAAUCACUUUCUCUUGUUGUAUUCUUGGAGCCCCUGCUAAUUCAUUAUUGAAAAAUACCUGCUGCCUGCAUUUGGCCUUAUGUUGUCAUUUACUUGGUACUUCCUAAGCGUGGCUACUCCAAUGAAGCUUUAGUAUAUGUACUGAAAGAAGAUCCUCUCAUACUGCCACAGCCAAGAGAUAAGGUUGUAAAUCUUUAUUGGGAGAAGCCGUCAAGGACAGUUCUGUGAAAUGAAAGGAUCUCUGGAUCACCACAAAGUCUGGCUCAGUGACUAUGGCUUUGCAAACACUAAACAUUCCUGUCUCAAGUCCUGUAGAUGGCUUGAAAUAGUAUACAUAAGCAUGCCUUAUAAACAUCUUCAGUCUUUAUCAACUCUUUGGAGAUUCAGCCAUUCUUUUUUGUACUUUAGGGAAUUAAAUCAUUUUAUAAUGUAUAAAUCUGAGCAUGGCCGAUGGCAGAAGAAAUUUUGUCAUACGUUUUUAAAGAAAUAAAAAUGUAUUAUGUUUUAAAAUUCCUUUAACUGUUUUUCUUACAAAAU